rnacentral:rRNA from 1 species
UUGAACGCUGGCGGCAUGCUUUACACAUGCAAGUCGAACGGUAACAGGGUGCUUGCACCGCUGACGAGUGGCGAACGGGUGAGUAAUACAUCGGAAUGUACCCAGUCAUGGGGGAUAACGCAGCGAAAGUUGUGCUAAUACCGCAUACGCCCUGAGGGGGAAAGUGGGGGACCGCAAGGCCUCACGUGAUUGGAGCAGCCGAUGGCUGAUUAGCUAGUUGGUAGGGUAAAGGCCUACCAAGGCAACGAUCAGUAGCGGGUCUUAGAGGACGAUCCGCCACACUGGAACUGAGACACGGUCCAGACUCCUACGGGAGGCAGCAGUGGGGAAUCUUGGACAAUGGGCGCAAGCCUGAUCCAGCAAUGCCGCGUGCGUGAAGAAGGCCUUCGGGUUGUAAAGCGCUUUUGUCAGGGAGCAAAAGCUCACCGCGAAUACCGGUGGGUCUUGAGAGUACCUGAAGAAUAAGGACCGGCUAACUACGU